UCCAGACUCCUACGGGAGGCAGCAGUCGGGAAUAUUGCGCAAUGGAGGAAACUCUGACGCAGUGACGCCGCGUAUAGGAAGAAGGUUUUCGGAUUGUAAACUAUUUUCGUUAGGGAAGAUAAAAGGCUGUACCUAAGGAGGAAGCCCCGGCUAACUACGUGCCAGCAGCCGCGGUAAUACGUAGGGGGCAAGCGUUAUCCGGAAUUACUGGGUGUAAAGGGUGAGUAGGCGGCAUGGUAAGCCAGAUGUGAAAGCCUUGGGCUUAACCCGAGGAUUGCAUUUGGAACUAUCAAGCUAGAGUACAGGAGAGGAAAGCGGAAUUCCUAGUGUAGCGGUGAAAUGCGUAGAUAUUAGGAAGAACACCAGUGGCGAAGGCGGCUUUCUGGACUGAAACUGACGCUGAGGCACGAAAGCGUGGGGAGCGAACAGGAUUAGAUACCCUUGUA
rnacentral:rRNA from 1 species